rnacentral:rRNA from 1 species
GGAAUUCGAUUCGGUGUGACAAGGCCCGGGAACGUAUUCACCGCAGCGUUCUGAUCUGCGAUUACUAGCGAUUCCAGCUUCAUGGAGUCGGGUUGCAGACUCCAAUCCGAACUGAGGUCGGCUUUUUCCGAUUAGCUCCCCCUCACGGGUUUGCGACGGUUUGUACCGACCAUUGUAGCACGUGUGUAGCCCUGGACAUAAAGGCCAUGGGGACUUGACGUCAUCCCCACCUUCCUCCCCGUUAUCCGAGGCGGUUUCGCCAGAGUGCCCAACUAAAUGAUGGCAACUGACAAUAAGGGUUGCGCUCGUUGCGGGACUUAACCCAACAUCUCACGACACGAGCUGACGACAGCCAUGCAGCACCUAUAUAGCGACCCUUGCGGGAAGGGAUGUUUCCACCCCGGUCCACUACAUUUCGAGCCCAGGUAAGGUUCUUCGCGUUAAUCACUA